UUUACUACAACUUGCCAUUGGAUGUUGGAAGGGUCUGUGUAGGAUAGGUGGGAGGCUGUGAAAUCGGGCCGCAAGGUCCGGUGGAGCCAACGUUGAAAUACCACCCUGAUUGUUCUGACAUUCUAACCCGGCCCGGUUAUCCCGGGCGGAGACAGUGGCUGGUGGGUAGUUUGACUGGGGCGGUCGCCUCCCAAAAGGUAACGGAGGCGCCCAAAGGUUCCCUCAGGCUGGUCGGUAAUCAGCCGUAGAGCGCAAAGGCAGAAGGGAGCUUGACUGCGAGACCGACGGGUCGAGCAGGGACGAAAGUCGGGCUUAGUGAUCCGGUGGUCCCGCGUGGAAGGGCCAUCGCUCAACGGAUAAAAGGUACGCCGGGGAUAACAGGCUGAUCUCCCCCAAGAGUUCACAUCGACGGGGAGGUUUGGCACCUCGAUGUCGACUCAUCGCAUCCUGGGGCUGAAGCUGGUCCCAAGGGUUGGGCUGUUCGCCCAUUAAAGCGGUACGAGAGUUGGGUUCAGAACGUCGUGAGACAGUUCGGUCCCUAUCUGUUGUGGGCGGAGGAGAUUUGAGAGGGGCUUUCACUAGUACGAGAGGACUGUGAAGGACGGACCGCUAGUGUGCCGGUUGUCGCGCCAGCGGCAGUGCCGGGUAGCUAUGUCCGGUAGGGAUAAUCGCUGAAAGCAUCUAAGCGAGAAGCCUGCCUCAAGAUGAGAUCUCCCGGGGCGUAAGCCCCCUAAAGACCACUCGUAGACUACGAGUUUGAUAGGCUGGGUGUGGAAGGGCCGUAAGGUCCGUAGCUAACCAGUACUAAUCGGUCGUGCGGCUUAACAUU
rnacentral:rRNA from 1 species